rnacentral:rRNA from 1 species
CCCAGACUCCUACGGGAGGCAGCAGUGGGGGAUAUUGCACAAUGGGGGAAACCCUGAUGCAGCGACGCCGCGUGGGUGAAGAAGCGCCUCGGCGCGUAAAGCCCUGCCAGCAGGGAAGAAAAUGACGGUACCUGAAGAAGAAGCCCCGGCUAACUACGUGCCAGCAGCCGCGGUAAUACGUAGGGGGCAAGCGUUAUCCGGAUUUACUGGGUGUAAAGGGAGCGUAGACGGCGGCGCAAGUCCGGAGUGAAAGCCCACGGCCCAACCGUGGGACUGCUCUGGAAACUGUGCGGCUUGAGUGCGGGAGGGGCAGGCGGAAUUCCUAGUGUAGCGGUGAAAUGCGUAGAUAUUAGGAGGAACACCAGUGGCGAAGGCGGCUUGCUGGACAGAGACUGACGUUGAGGCUCGAAAGCGUGGGGAGCAAACAGGAUUAGAUACCCGAGUACA